AGGAAAUAGCGUCAUCAGAACGGAAGAGCUCAUAGAGGGCGGGACGUUUUCAAAUUCUUGCUAUUCUGACUGUUGACAAAUGUAUUUUUCAUAUCCAUAAAGGCCUUUGUACUGCUCUGCAUUGUAUUUAUUGGAAAGAUAUAAAGCACAAUGUCUUCAAAGAUCCCAAGAGGUGUCCAUCCCCCUGCAGAAACAAAGACAGGUCAAAAAUUAAUUGAAACACCCACAUCAAAUACAAAUUCUGGCCAAAAGUUAGAUGGUAUCCUUACGUCUCAAAAGGAAAAUGUGACAAGGAAAAAUGUUGCUCCCAAAACUCACAAAGGGAUGUCCACCAGGUAUCGGCAACAGGCAGGGCUCAAGGAGCAUAACGAGCAUCUGAUGGCUACCAAUGAGGAGCUGCAGAAAAACCUCUCAGAGACACAGCAAAGAGUAGCGAAGUUGGAGUUGCAGUACAGUGAGAUUGAAAAGGAGAAUGCAGAAGUACAGAAAAACCUGAGGGACUGUCAUGUCCUCCUCGUCGCAGCCAGUAUAGACCCAGUUGUAGGAGAAAGAGUUGGGGAAGCUGCACGACAAAAUGAAGAGCAAAGAAAAGAAGUUAUGAGUGUUUCCACAAACCUGCUGAAUGAAUUAAAGGUGUUCGGAGACACUGCAUCCCAGCAACGUGCCCGGCUAGAGGAAAUCCAAACAACAGUGACAGAUCUCACCAAAGCACGGGAAGACAUGAUGCAGGAACGGGAGGUCUUUUCUCUGGAGGCGGCUGAAAUUGAAAAGACUCUUAAGGAAGCGGACGCUUUCCUGUUAUAAAAGUUGGAUCAUUUCCCCAACUUAAAGUGAAGAAAAAGGUGUAUAUUGAUAACGCUAACCCCGGGGAGAAAUUGGAUUUUGUAACAGUUGCUCCGUUUUAGAAUAAAAGACAAUAAAAACAUUUAGAUAAACACAAACUAAAGUAAAAUCACCUUCCAGUAUUUACAAUUACCAGUAGCAUUUAAGAGGAUUUUCUUUUCCAGUAUAUCACCAACUAAAGAUAAUUGUAUCUUAAUGAGUUAAAGAUCAGAAGCCUCCUAAACGUAUAAAGAUAAAGAAGAGUUGUUUUCACCUUAUUUACAAUAACCUAGUUGUAGUUCUUGGAUAAACAAAAGAUAUGAUUAGUAUUAAAUAUAUUUGUAAAACAAUUAAAAAACCCACUGACUAACAAUAUGUAAUAAAAAGUGCCUAUUGCAGUUUCAUAAA